rnacentral:lncRNA from 1 species
CCCCGGUCCUGCCCCGGGAAGCCGCCCUCCCCUCCCCGCGGCGCCCGGCGGCUCGGCAGCGCUGUCCGAGGCGGGACGUCAGCCCCACGCCCGCCGCCUCGCCGCCUUCCCUCAGUCCCAGCCCUCCCUCCGCUCCUGUCGCGUCCCCGCCCGGCCCUGGAUGCGAAGGCGAGGGGCGGCCGGAGAGAAUCCGGACUGGGCUCUGAGCAGUUCUCGAAGCUCAGCAAUGUCUUAAACGGAUUACACGGAGGAGGGGUUGAAGCUGAAAACCUCAUUCAUCCUCACGACGGUCCUAUUCAUUGCUGAAAUAGGUGUAGCGUAGGAGCCGGAGCUGGUCUUCCCCAGAGCAGCUCAGCAGUUGUGUGGGCUGCUUGAGCUGGCUGCAGCAGGGAGGGCAGGGCUGCACAGUGCUCUGAAUCCUUAUCAUGUGUUUGCUAC